rnacentral:lncRNA from 1 species
AAAAUAUUGAUAAACAUCAGAAGUAUAUUUACUUGGUAUAUGGAUAAUCCAUAAAGGCUCAAUAACCAGUGGUAGAAUGUUUCCCUUACACCCCCAUUUAUUGUUGCCAAAUAGUUGAUUCCAGCAGCUGCUUCAAAAGUGAUAAUCAACAAAUAGCAAGGAAUUUUGUGCCCUACAAACUUGCAGAAGCCUUGCUGUAGCCAAUCACAACCCGGAAGACAAACCACUCACUAUAUUGACCAUUGGCCAGAGUAUUUUCCAACAGAAACCUGAAGCAUAUAACCUCAUUGAAAUCAAACAAACAAGAUUCCAACACAAACCUGCAGGAUGUAAGCUCAUCAACAAAUUAAACAAAUAAGAUAACAAGCAAACCGCAAAACACCAACAAAACUCUUUAUUCGCAGAUGUCCACAAACAAUUCUCUACUGGCAAGCUGCAACAACAAUUUGGCAAAAUGACUGACCAAAUUACACUCUACAGCAAGGCAUUGAGAAGCUAAAUCAUUUACUAGAAGCCCCUUGAAUAGCGUUCUGCAACACUUCUCAAAAACACGAAGAUGUACUCAUAAAUCCACAACAUUCAAAAUUUCAAUCUAUUUAAAAACGAUCCACAAGCAAUUCAAACAUUUUCACCUCACUCCAACAGAGAUGCACAAAUGAAAGACCAAAAUAUGAGAUAAACCUCAUAGUAUUCAGGUAGCCAUGUGGAAGCUAGAAGCAAGAAGAAAGAAUUAGAGUCAUCAGAAGCCCCUGCAGUGGAGAGAAAGCCUUAAUACUCCAAAAAACUGAACACACUUUGCCAUCGCUGCUCAAGAAAUUUGCAACAAACAUAGUUAUACUUCGGAGCAUUCAGUUAGGCAGAGAUAAAAGAAACCAACUGGAAAAAUGACUGAAUAACACAAUAGAAAACUCCUCCAGUGAAAUGGUCACUUGAUUCUUCGAAAACUCGGAAAAUUCCUCAAUCAUAGAAGCUCCCUUUGCAGCAGUCCAGAUAUUCCUCAACUACUAAAUCCAUUUCUGAAACUCUGCAACAUUUAACAUUGCAAAAAAUGAAACAGCCAGAUUACAAUAUGCUCUAAAAUAUUCAUGAAUAGAAGUGAUUAAAAAAAGUUCGAAAAAAUUCAUUAGAUCAGCCCCUAGAAGUGGUCAAAUACCCAGACCAUUUCUCAAUAACUGCAACAUAACACUUGCAAAAAUCAAAUGACCAAAAUACAAUUGGGUUUUUAAGUUUUCAUAGAUAAAUUUGUAGAUGCGAUCAGCUAAGAAAGGGCCGAAUGACAUCCCCAAAUCCUACCCAAACCUUUGAAAAAGGGGGAAAAAACCCCACAUCAUAGAAAAGAAGUUCACAAAAAUGAAAGCUGAACUUAUAGUACUCAAACAGGCAUAGAUGGAAGCUACCUACAAGAAAGAACAAGGGAGUUGUCAGAAACUCCUAAGGUGGAGAGUUGGCAAGAUAAAACACUUAUUCAUCACUCUCAAGAAAUUUGCAAAAAAUGAAAGACAGAGUUAAUACAAACCUCAAGGAUUCAGUUAGGUAAAGAUAGAAGAAAUAAACUGCAAAAAUUACUAAAAUAGGACAAUAGAAAACCCCCUGACUAGAAUAGUCCUAGUAUUCUUUCAAAACUUGCUCCCAGCGUUACUUGGAACUUGGAAUGUUUCCCUAUUGCUGCCACAGAACAUUGCAAAACUGAAAAGAUUUGCUCAACUAUACGGACAGUAAACUAAGAAAAAGUCAUGAAUGCCACCUUCGUAACAGAGCCCAAAUGUUCCUCAGCUACCCAAACCAUUUCUAGAACACCGAAACGUAAAAAAUUACAAAAAUGAAAUGGCCCGAAUACAAUCUGCACUGAAGUAUUCAUAUUAAAAUUAAUAAACUAAGAGCAGAUUCCAAAGGAAAAAAAAAAAAAAAAACUCAUGAAACAUCACCCAGAUGCAGAGUCACGGUAUUCCUCAAAUACUCUUUAACACUGCCACACAAAAGUAUGCGUAAAUCAAAAGAUCAAAACGCAAUUUAAUUUUAAGUUUCAUAGAUAGAAGUGAUUAACUAAGGAAGAAUGGACAAAAACUCAUUAGACACCCUCAAGUAUUAGCAGAAUCCCAAUCUUCCACUGAAACCCAAAGAAUUUCCACAUCACUGCAACAGAAAUUGGCAAAAAUGAAAGACAAAAUUAUGAGCUGCAACUUUAUAGCACUCGAAUAGGAUGGAUGGAGCGAGAUAAGGAAAAACAAUAAAGAAGUCAUAAAAACCCCCUGCUGUAGUGAGAUAGCCCAGCAUAACCUGACUAGAAGUUUUCAAUGAGGGAAGUGAUCAACUAAGAAGAGGUCAGAAAAGCUCUUUAACACAUCCCCAGAAUCCCAAUCUUCCAGAAAAAGUCAAAACAUUUCCACAUCGCUGCAGCAUAUGCAAAAACGCAAGAUCAAAAUAUGAGCUGGACAUCAUAGUAUUCAGAAAGGCAAUUGUGGAAGCUAAAAAGAAGGAGAAAACAUAAAAGAGUCCUAAAAACCGGUUGAUAGAUAGCGCCAAUACUCCUCUAAAUCCAUGACCACUAUUUGCACGGUUGUACAUGCAAAAAAAAGAGCAAAUAACAAGCCAGAAACCUCCAGAUUACUUGACAGUUCCAAGUUUAUUAAUCCAUGAAACUUAAGAGCCCCAAUACUCCUCUAAAUGCACGACGACCAUUUGUACUGUUGUACACGCAGAAAAAGAAGCAAAUAAUGAGUCAGACACCUCCUGAUUACUUGACAGUUCCAAGUUAAUUAACACAGGAGACUUAGAGCAGACACCCUACCGGUAUCUCAAACCUCCACUCCGCACAGGAAUUCAAGAUUCUGUAACCAAGAAUUGAAUGAAGAGAAAAGAAAAUUGAAGGCAAAACAACUCCAAUCCACAAUCUCAGCCUACAAUGACACCUUGUCACCAAUAAAUUAAAUGGAACCAUGAAAUUCCAAUUAUAUGAAUAUAUAAAGCUUCAUAAUAAUGAGCAAUAGAUCAAUUACCAAUGAGAGCAACACAAACCAACAAAUUGCCGCCUGCCUAUUUAUUGAACGGCACAAAUUUCAAGAUAAUAUCUUCGUCACCAACAGCAAAAAAAAGAAAAAUAUGUACUAUAAACUCUGUUCGAUUCUCUGCAUAAUACGAACAUUCCGAGAUCUCAAUCUAUUUCACAAACCACCCACAAGCAAGUCAAUAAUCGAAUAUUAUAUAUCAUCUUUAUAAUAAAACCAUAACCCUCAAAAUUCCUUGACAAAGAAGUUAAGAAAGUCACCAAUCAAUCUCAGUUCACUAGUCCAAGAAACUACAGCGGAUGCCCGAUCGAUAAAGAACAGCACAGAUUCAAGAUCCUGUACCCAAUAAUUGAACAAAGAGAAGCCAAGCAACUUCGAUCCAAUACAUCAGUGUAUAAAAUAAAAAUACCUUCGUCUCCAAUAACUCAAAAACAACGAAGAAAUUUCAAUCAAUUCGAAUAACAACACUAAUAUUGCGCUAAAUUAAUUCCCGAUGGUCACACCGCACCCAACCCGUAGAAAAGAACAUAGACAAACAGAAAGAAAGCAUAGGCCCACGACCGUGCUCCCCGACGCGGGGGUAUAUUUAUAGGAUCGCUGGUCAAGAUCGACGGCUAUUGCUU